AUAUUGUAUGAAAGGACAGACAGUUAGCACUUCCCUUGACAAGAAUGGAAAAGGUUUGGGCCUGCAAUACACUUAUGGUUAAGGUGCCCCAUCUACUUAGUGGCAUCUAACCAACGUUUUUU